rnacentral:rRNA from 13 species
CUUCUAAGCUUCAGGCUAUUCGAGACCGUACCCCAAACCGACACAGGUGGUCAGGUAGAGAAUACCAAGGCGCUUGAGAGAACUCGGGUAAAGGAACUAGGCAAAAUGGUGCCGUAACUUCGGGAGAAGGCACGCCGGUGGUAUGUGACGCCCUUCGCGGGUUGAGCAGAAGCCGGUCGAAGAUACCAGGCCCCUGCGACUGUUUAUUAAAAACACAGCACUGUGC